rnacentral:rRNA from 1 species
AGCGCAGACGGUUAUUUAAGUCUGAAGUGAAAGCCCUCAGCUCAACUGAGGAAUGGCUUUGGAAACUGGAUGACUUGAGUGCAGUAGAGGAAAGUGGAACUCCAUGUGUAGCGGUGAAAUGCGUAGAUAUAUGGAAGAACACCAGUGGCGAAGGCGGCUUUCUGGACUGUAACUGACGUUGAGGCUCGAAAGUGUGGUAGCAAACA